rnacentral:rRNA from 1 species
AACGAACGCUGGCGGCAGGCUUAACACAUGCAAGUCGAGCGGUAACAGGCCUUCGGGCGCUGACGAGUGGCGGACGGGUGAGUAACGCGUAGGAAUCUGCCUCAUAGUGGGGGACAACGUGGGGAAACUCACGCUAAUACCGCAUACGCCCUACGGGGGAAAGCGGGGGAUCUUCGGACCUCGCGCUAUGAGAUGAGCCUGCGUUAGAUUAGCUAGUUGGUAGGGUAAAGGCCUACCAAGGCGACGAUCUAUAGCUGGUCUGAGAGGACGAUCAGCCACACUGGGACUGAGACACGGCCCAGACUCCUACGGGAGGCAGCAGUGGGGAAUAUUGGACAAUGGGCGCAAGCCUGAUCCAGCAAUACCGCGUGUGUGAAGAAGGCCCUAGGGUUGUAAAGCACUUUCAAUUGGGAGGAAAACCUGCCGGUCAAUACCCGGCAGCUUGACAUUACCUUUAGAAGAAGCACCGGCUAACUCCGUGCCAGCCGCCGCCGUAAUAC